GUCAUCCCUCAACAUGUUGACGAUAUGCAUGAUUGUUGCCAGCAUCUCUCUGAAUCAUAACCUGAGAUGGUUUACACAGAACAUGUGCACCGAGGAGCAUAUGCAACAAUUCUCCAUUCAGCUCAUGUUUAUGUUUGUGGAGCUAUUGCUGCUGCCCAGAGCAUCCGCAUGUCUGGGUCCACCUGAGACCUUGUGAUACUUGUAGAUGAGACAAUCAGUAGAUACUACAGAAGUGGACUUGAGGCUGCAGGAUGGAAGAUUAGGACAAUCCAAAGGAUAAGGAACCCCAAAGCUGAGAAAGAUGCAUAUAAUGAAUGGAAUUACAGCAAGUUCCGGUUAUGGCAGUUAACAGAUUAUGAUGGGAUCAUUUUCAUCGAUGCUGAUUUGUUUAUACUCAGAAACAUUGAUUUCUUAUUUAAGAUGCCACAGAUUUCAGCAACAGGGAACAAUGGUACACUUUUUAACUCUGGUGUAAUGGUUAUUGAGCCAUCAAAUUGUACUUUCCAGCUUUUGAUGGAUCACAUUAAUGAGUUUGAGUCCUACAAUGGAGGGGACUAGGGAUACUUGAAUGAAGAUUUUACAUGGUGGCAUAGGAUUCCAAAACACAAGAAUUUCUUGAAGAAUUUCUGGAUUGGUGAUGAAGAAGAGGUAAAGCAAAUGAAAACUAGGCUCUUCGGUGCUGAGCCUCCAGUUCUGUAUGUCCUUCACUAUCUGGGUGUGAAGCCAUGGCUGUGCUUCCGUGACUAUGAUUGUAAUUGGAAUGUUGAUAUAUUCCAAGAGUUUGCCAGUGAUGUAGCUCACGAAAAGUGGUGGAAAGUACAUGAUGCAAUGCCAAUGCUGUUCCAGCAGUUUUGCCUGUUGCAAUCAAAGCAAAAGGCACAAUUAGAAUGGGACCGUAGGCAAGCUGAGAUAGCAAACUACACAGAUGGUCAUUGGAGGAUUAAAGUUAAGGAUCAACGUUUAAAGAAAUGCAUAGACACUUACUGCUCCUGGAAGAGCAUGUUAAAGCACUGGGGUGAGACAAAUUGGACAGAUGAGGACCCUUUUACUCCAACGCCUCCUGCAAUUUCAAGAGCAUCUCUCUCUAGAAUGUGAGUUGUAAAUUCUAUUCUUCUCAUCAAACCUUUGCCUUCAGUAUCUGUGUCCUCACUAUGCUCAUGCCUUCAUCAUGUAAAUCGCAUAGUUCCAAGGACUUCAUUUUUUUUUUCCCCAUCUUUUUAAUUCCUGAAAGUGUUUUUGACCCAUUCUUUACUCUGGGUAUAAUAGACUUCAUCACCUUCGAUAAGGUUGAUAUAUUUACAGU